AGAGUUUGAUCCUGGCUCAGGAUAAACGCUGGCGGCGUGCCUUACGCAUGCAAGUCGAGCGGGGGGCCUGCCUACGGGGAGGCCGCCCAGCGGCGGACGGGUGAGGAACACGUAAGCGACCUAGCCGGUGGUGGGGGAUACCCCCCCGAAAGGGGGGCUAAUACCGCAUGAGCUCGCGGGGGUGGGUCCCCGCGAGGAAAGGCCUACGGGCCGCGACCGGGGGGGCUUGCGUCCGAUUAGCUAGUUGGCGGGGUGACGGCCCACCAAGGCGACGAUCGGUAGCUGGCCUGAGAGGGUGGCCAGCCACACUGGGACUGAGACACGGCCCAGACUCCUACGGGAGGCAGCAGCGAGGGAUCUUGCGCAAUGGGCGACAGCCUGACGCAGCAACGCCGCGUGCGGGAGGAAGGCCUUCGGGUCGUAAACCGCUUUGGCGGGGGAAGAAGCCGACGGUACCCCGCAAAAAAGCCCCGGCUAACUACGUGCCAGCAGCCGCGGUAAGACGUAGGGGGCGAGCGUUGUCCGGAAUCACUGGGCGUAAAGGGCGCGCAGGCGGCCGGCCAAGUGCCCCGUGAAAGCCCCCGGCUCAACCGGGGGAGGCCGGGGUAGACUGGCCGGCUGGAGUGUCGCAGAGGCGGGUGGAAUUCCCGGUGGAGUGGUGAAAUGCGUAGAGAUCGGGAGGAACACCAGUGGC
rnacentral:rRNA from 1 species